rnacentral:snRNA from 1 species
GCGCUUGCUUUGGCAGCACAUCUACCCAACGAGACAAUGCAGAGGAGAUUGGCACGGCACCUGCUCCAGGACGAUACGCAAAUUCACACAGUAUUCCGUUUAAAA